AGUUGCAUUGCGGUAGGAAGGCGACCAGUCGCCACCCGUCAAACUACCUUUCUUUCCCGGGGAAUAUCAUUAGUAAGCCAAUCCAAACACUCUUAAAAUGUAUUUUCCUUUUUAAGAAGAGUCUAGUGUAGUUUGCAACUGAACAGUCUCUCCGAGCAACUGAUCGUACUGAGCCAUGUCUUACAUUCCACCACACAAGAGGCAUAACAAAGGUUCGCCGUCGUCGGAACCAACUCCGGCACCGGAAUCACUGAUACCUGCCUUCAGAAAAAACCUGAAUUUCAAGAGAAAGGAUAAGUUUCUGUUCGAGAUCCGCUGUGCUCAUGGUGCGGUUAGGAAAUGGUUCCCUGUUGGUUUGACUGAUGAUUCUCACUUUUCAUCUCUUGUGAAGCUCCAACCUCUUUCUAUCGACCGAAAAUCUGACGAAAAUCCUCUUCGUUUGGUCCUAAUGCAAGUCGCAGUGAAGGAACAAAUGAGCUUAUGGAUGAGCCAUGGCGUUUGGUGGCUAAAAGUGUGAUGGAGGACUUACUGUUGUCAUUUCAACAUGUGAAAUGUGAAAUGGAGGAAGCUAAGAUGGAAGAAUUAAAGCCGGGUCUAAGUUGCUCGUUUUGGAAGAAUUAUCUUUCAUGGGAUUUCUGCAAAUAGUCAAGAAUCCCUGAAAAGUAACCCAUUGGGUGAAACUAAGUUGAGCCAAAUGAGAAAAGCUUUCUAUACGAGCGUUCCUCUUUCAUAUAUGGUAUAUAUGCAAAACCUUGCACUUGAAAAACUUGGCUUAGAAUAUGUGGAGGAGAAGGAAUUAUACUAUGUCAAGCUUUCAGACAACAUGUGAGCUGAUUCAACUGUCACCUGCAAAUGUACGGUGGUCAUGGAUCAGGAGAAAAUUCAUCUCCAUAAGAUUGAGCUGAACCUAGUGCAACAUGGUUGCAGACAUGAGCUGUCUUGGCAAAAGUUUAGACCUGAGGUUGAUGUUAAAUACCAAGAAAAUCAUGAUGGGUUUAUCUGUAAGUUACUUCAUUGAGGAUCAAAUAUCUUGAAAGUCAUAGGUCGUAUACUCAUACUUUUAAGUUCCACCCAAUAUUUGAUAUUUUCUGAACUGGAAACAUGUCCAUUCAGUUACUCUUGGGUGAACUUUCUUGUUUUUUCAUGUUUCAUGGAUUUGGGGGACGGUUCGAUGUUUGUGAACAGCAAAUUGAAUAGCCUAUUGGGCUGACCAGUAGGGUUAAAAUGCUCAAAUACUGCGCGUUAUUGGAGUCCUCGAGUAACUGGAUUGAGCUAGAUAUGAAUCAUUUCUACGAUGAAAUCCAAAGGAGGAUCUUCAACUGGUGAGGUUGCACAGGAAUCUAACCUGAAAAUGUCUGGGAUUUUAUCCCAAUUGCAGGAGCAAACGAUUGACGAAAACCUGGUGCUUAAAAUGCUUGAAGACAACUUGAAGUUAAUCUGGGAUCACUGUUUGCAUGAUGGUUCUUCAAGCUGACCAUAUUUUAUGGUCCUUCACUUUCUCUUUGCAAAAUAUCUGCAGAAACUGCUAGACUCACAAGCUAUGUUCGGUUGGUGAAGAAAGUUACCUUUUGUAGUUUGCAGUGGUGGAAUAUAUAGAUGUAGAUAACUGAAUUUUUAAACUCAAAAUGUUGAAUGCUGUUUGCACUAUAUAGUUUUGUGUAUGGAAUGAAAUGAACCAAGGCCUCUAAUGUUAGUGGCAUCAGUAAGGAACACUAGAUAAGAUUGUAAAUAGUUCUGUUUUGUAAGGAACACUAGAUAAGCCUUGCUUUGAAUCUUUCAACACUGCCAUUAGCUUUGUGUUUGA